CGUCAUCAUCUGUCAUUUAAAAUGCAAUUAUCUGUUCCGUGUAUCACGUUGAAUUGUUUGAAAUGUAUCAUCCCUCGGUUGCGUUCAUUACCAAACGAUGUGUGCAGAUUUAUCGCAUGCUCGUUCACCAGCUCCAUAGUGAAUCGGAGUAAACAUAUGAAAUUGUUCGUCCUACAUGUGCACUCGCCACGACGAUAUCAUUAUAGACAACAGUAUUACCAAAAUUCCAAACAUCAGAAUCGCCGACAAUUUUCACGAGUUACUCGCUAUUCUAUUUGGAACUAUCACACGAAGACGAGCUAGCGAACAACGAGCGUGCUCUUCGAUGGGAUUUAAUGAAUCUUACGGUUUCCGACGAAACAACGAAUAAGAAUGGAGGUAACGGCGGUGUAUAUAGUUACAACAUCGCAACGAUAUAUAUAUAUAUAUGUAUAUAAUAUACACUUACGUACGGUAAGAUACAUAUUUACAUAGAGACAGCAGAUAGAAGUUUAGUUCCACGUGUAAUAUAAUACUAUAUAAACAUUACAAUUCUUAUGCGUUACGUCGUUUCAAACUUAAAUACUUAGUCACGUUUAGUGCGUAUACAGUCGCUCCUCGAGAUUUUAUAAUGUUUCCUCAAACGUGGGCCCUCCGUUAUACAAUUGUCUUCUCUUUAUCUCCAAAUUUUUGUUUGUGUAUGUACUUGUUUCUUUGUUACCCUAAGCAGUAUAAUCGUUCUUAAUCCUAUUUAUGUUGCGUCACGCGACAUCGCCGGCAUCCUUUGAGCCACAAUAGAUAUGAAUUAAGGUAUCUCACGACCGUCUAUACAUUAUACUUCGCACGUUUUCGGUUACAUCUAGAUCCUGUCUCGCCACGUAUAAAAACCUUACGAAAAUAGUUGCUCUAUCAUAAAAUCCCACAGCUCUUACACGACGUUGCCAUCUUUACAAGUUUUUGGUUUCAUUGUUUUUCAUAUAUACUUUUUUUUUAAACUCGUUUUUACAAAGUGCCCGGGAGUAAAGCUCGACGGUUGGUUGCAACCGCGAGUGCGCCGGUUCCCCCGUGAAUUAUGCGGAAUACCGCUGGGCUCGUUCGUUGGAUCGUUGGAAGUCUACGCAGAGCGAACGAUACACGAAUUUCUUUUUCAAUCCUGGCACGCGAUUCACGCGAAAACGAUCCGUCGCCAACCGACGGAUGUUUGUCCUCUGACAUCUGAGGUGGUUGCGGAAAAUUCGCGAAAAGUCGACUGAAACCCCGAUUAGGGCCCGUCAGCAUGACGCGUAAAUCUCAGGAGAAACCGUCAAGGAAAGAUCGACGUGUUGGCAGCACUGGCGAAUGUCUGAACGAUAAUAACGCUGGGACUAUUCGAAUCGUUUAAUUCGUGUCUGCCUCGUGGGAAAAGUUAAUUUGAUACUCUUAUUAACACUUUGCACUCCUAUGUCGAGUCCCCACGCGACAUUCUGUUGUCUCAGAAUCAAUAGUAAAGGAAAUUGUUUCAAGAGCUAUUAUAUACUCGAAAAUUACAAAAUACACCAAAAGUGAGAAUAAAACUGGUAUGUAAAUCAAUUUGUUUCUUCCUUUAUUCAUUUAAAUUGCCUUAAUUUUUAGUUAAAUUGAAUUUCAAAUGAAACACUUGAAAGUAUUGGGAGCUGCUGAUAACGAAAUUGAAAUAUAAUUCGGCGUGCAAAGGGUUAAUGAGAGGUGAGCUCCAAGGAGAAAUCAUUCAUUUUAUUUUUUUUAUUUAUUAGUGGAUUCGACUUACUAAUAGAGUCAAAGUUUCUGAUGGACGAAUAGUCCCUGCCUUAAUUAGAAUUUGAAAUCCUGGCAGUACCAUCGAUCUUCGAAUCUUCGACACAGUCUGACCGAAACCAUCGUAAUCACCGUCUUCCCAUGCUGACGAGCCAACCGCGGGUUGCAUCCGGCACGAAAGUACGCGCGAUAUAAUUGUCUCUACGAUUCAAUCGGUGAGAUCGACUUCUAGAAGAAAAAAAAAAGAGAAAAAAAAUUACGUACACGUGACAAACGGUCGCGAAUACUCGAGCCUCUUUACUCUUCCUUCAACGAUAUUACAAUGGAUGAAACCAUACAGGAGCAGCGAUCGUCGACCAUAUGCGACUGGUACGCAACAUGGUCUCUGAACUAGCUCCGUGACAAGAGCUCAACCUCUCGGAGCGUAAAAGGUCGUUAUUGUCGCCAGUGACCGCGUUAAUUCGUCGCACGUGUAAUCGAUCGAGAAUAAUUCGAGACAAAACGAUGCUAUUGCUCGCCGUGGCCAUGGUGGCUGUAACAUGUGCACCAGCCCCGGUGCCGCCAGUGAUUGCGCCCCCGCUGGUCUAUUCGCACCCGUACGUGAAGGUACUGCCAAUCCACCCAGCAGCUGUUCCUCUGUCUUACAAUCACGGAUACAAGUGGGUUCAUCCCGGCUCGGUGUAUCUCUACUGACCCAGCAUCUCGAUCCCCCACCCAAGAACGCUCUUGGCCAAAUAAUUUUAUACUCGUUCGAAAUGUACUUGAAAUAAAACACGCGGCAUCCGCAC